rnacentral:rRNA from 1 species
AGCGAACGUUAGCGGCGCGCCUAACACAUGCAAGUUCGCACGAGAAAGGGAGCAAUCCCCGGUACAGUGGCGCACGGGUGAGUAACACGUAGAUGACCUUCCCUGGAGUGGUGGAUAACCUGCCGAAAGGCGGGCUAAUACAGCAUGGGACCACAUGGUUUUGACCGAGUGGUGAAAGCGGGCCUCUGUUCACAAGCUCGCGCUCUGGGAUGGGUCUGCGUCCAUCAGCUAGUUGGUGAGGUAAUGGCUCACCAAGGCAUCGACGGGUAGCUGGUCUCGAGAGGAUGACCAGCCACACUGGAACUGAGACACGGUCCAGACUCCUACGGGAGGCAGCAGUGGGGAAUCUUGCGCAAUGGGCGAAAGCCUGACGCAGCGACGCCGCGUGGGUGAUGAAGGCCUCGGUUGUAAGACCUCGUGGGAGGAACGGAA